rnacentral:rRNA from 1 species
UACAGGGGGGGCAAGCGUUGUUCGGAAUUACUGGGCGUAAAGGGCUCGUAGGUGGCCAACUAAGUCAGACGUGAAAUCCCUCAGCUUAACUGGGGAACUGCGUCUGAUACUGGAUGGCUUGAGUUUGGGAGAGGGAUGCGGAAUUCCAGGUGUAGCGGUGAAAUGCGUAGAUAUCUGGAGGAACACCGGUGGCGAAGGCGGCAUCCUGGACCAACACUGACACUGAGGAGCGAAAGCCAGGGGAGCAAACAGG